GUAGGUGGCAGGCGUUGUCCGGAAUUAUUGGGCGUAAAGCGCGCGCAGGCGGUCCUUUAAGUCUGAUGUGAAAGCCCACGGCUCAACCGUGGAGGGUCAUUGGAAACUGGGGGACUUGAGUACAGAAGAGGAAAGCGGAAUUCCAAGUGUAGCGGUGAAAUGCGUAGAGAUUUGGAGGAACACCAGUGGCGAAGGCGGCUUUCUGGUCUGUAACUGACGCUGAGGCGCGAAAGCGUGGGGAGCAAACAGGGAUUAGAUACCCUGGUAGUCCACGCCGUAAACGAUGAGUGCUAAGUGUUAGGGGGUUUCCCGCCCCUUAGUGCUGCAGCUAACGCAUUAAGCACUCCGCCUGGGGAUACGGCCGCAAGGCUG
rnacentral:rRNA from 1 species